UACGUAGGGUGCGAGCGUUAAUCGGAAUUACUGGGCGUAAAGCGUGCGCAGGCGGUCUGUUAAGACCGAUGUGAAAUCCCCGGGCUUAACCUGGGAACUGCAUUGGUGACUGGCAGGCUAGAGUAUGGCAGAGGGGGGUAGAAUUCCACGUGUAGCAGUGAAAUGCGUAGAGAUGUGGAGGAAUACCGAUGGCGAAGGCAGCCCCCUGGGCCAAUACUGACGCUCAUGCCACGAAAGCGUGGGGAGCAAACAGG
rnacentral:rRNA from 1 species